UACUGCUUAGGCAGAUGUUAACUAGAACAGGAAUACUAUAGAGAAGAUUGCCCCUGCACUAAGAUAACAGGCAAAUUUGUGAAGUGUUACAUAGUUUU
ensembl:snRNA U6 U6 spliceosomal RNA